rnacentral:rRNA from 1 species
UGGGGAAUCUUGCACAAUGGGCGAAAGCCUGAUGCAGCGACGCCGCGUGCGGGAUGAAGGCCUUCGGGUUGUAAACCGCUUUCAGCAGGGACGAGGCGAAAGUGACGGUACCUGCAGAAGAAGCCCCGGCUAACUACGUGCCAGCAGCCGCGGUAAUACGUAGGGGGCAAGCGUUAUCCGGAUUCAUUGGGCGUAAAGCGCUCGUAGGCGGUCUGUUAGGUCGGGAGUUAAAUCCGGGGGCUCAACCCCCGCUCGCUCCCGAUACCGGCAGACUUGAGUUUGGUAGGGGAAGGUGGAAUUCCUAGUGUAGCGGUGGAAUGCGCAGAUAUUAGGAAGAACACCAGUGGCGAAGGCGGCCUUCUGGGCCAUAACUGACGCUGAGGAGCGAAAGCUAGGGGAGCAAACAGGAUUAGAUACCCUGGUAGUCCUAGCCGUAAACGAUGGACACUAGGUGUGGGGGAAUAUUUCUUCCGUGCCGCAGCUAACGCAUUAAGUGUCCCGCCUGGGGAGUACGGCCGCAAGGCUA